CAUGCAAGUCGACGGAACGAUGCUAGCUUGCUAGCAGGCGUCGAGUGGCGGACGGGUGAGUAAUGCAUAGGAAUCUGCCUUAUGGUGGGGGAUAACGUGUGGAAACGCACGCUAAUACCGCAUAAUCUCUACGGAGCAAAGCGGGGGAUCUUCGGACCUCGUGCCAAAAGAUGAGCCUAUGUCAGAUUAGCUAGUUGGUAGGGUAAAGGCCUACCAAGGCGACGAUCUGUAGCUGGUUUGAGAGAACGAUCAGCCACACUGGGACUGAGACACGGCCCAGACUCCUACGGGAGGCAGCAGUGGGGAAUAUUGGACAAUGGGCGCAAGCCUGAUCCAGCAAUGCCGCGUGUGUGAAGAAGGCCUGCGGGUUGUAAAGCACUUUCAGUUGGGAGGAAAGGUUUUGUGUUAAUAGCACGGAGCUGUGACGUUACCAACAGAAGAAGCACCGGCUAACUCUGUGCCAGCAGCCGCGGUAAUACAGAGGGUGCAAGCGUUAAUCGGAAUUACUGGGCGUAAAGCGUGCGUAGGCGGAUUAUUAAGCAAGAUGUGAAAGCCCAGGGCUCAACCUUGGAACUGCAUUUUGAACUGAUAGUCUAGAGUACUGUAGAGGGUGGUGGAAUUUCCAGUGUAGCGGUGAAAUGCGUAGAGAUUGGAAGGAACAUCAGUGGCGAAGGCGGCCACCUGGACAGAUACUGACGCUGAGGCACGAAAGCGUGGGGAGCGAACAGGAUUAGAUACCCUGGUAGUCCACGCCGUAAA
rnacentral:rRNA from 1 species